rnacentral:rRNA from 1 species
GAGUUUGAUCUUGGCUCAGAUUGAACGCUGGCGGCAUGCUUUACACAUGCAAGUCGAACGGCAGCGCGGGGCAACCUGGCGGCGAGUGGCGAACGGGUGAGUAAUAUAUCGGAACGUACCCAAGAGUGGGGGAUAACGUAGCGAAAGUUACGCUAAUACCGCAUACGAUCUAAGGAUGAAAGUGGGGGAUCGCAAGACCUCAUGCUCCUGGAGCGGCCGAUAUCUGAUUAGCUAGUUGGUGAGGUAAAGGCUCACCAAGGCGACGAUCAGUAGCUGGUCUGAGAGGACGACCAGCCACACUGGAACUGAGACACGGUCCAGACUCCUACGGGAGGCAGCAGUGGGGAAUUUUGGACAAUGGGCGCAAGCCUGAUCCAGCAAUGCCGCGUGAGUGAAGAAGGCCUUCGGUG